rnacentral:rRNA from 1 species
CCUACGGGGGGCAGCAGUGAGGAAUAUUGGUCAAUGGGCGCGAGCCUGAACCAGCCAAGUAGCGGGAAGGAUGACGGCCCUACGGGUUGUAAACUUCGUUUAUAAAGGAAUAAAGUGAGGCACGUGGGCCUUUUUGGAUGUACGUUAUGAAUAAGGAUCGGCUAACGCCGUGCCAGCAGCCGCGGUAAUACGGAGGAUCCGAGCGUUAUCCGGAUUUAUUGGGUUUAAAGGGAGCGUAGAUGGGUUGUUACGUCAGUUGUGAAAGUUUGCGGCUCAACCGUUAAAUUGCACUUGAUACUGGCAGCCUUUCGUCCAGUUGCUGUAUGCGGAAUUCGUGGUGUCGCGGU